rnacentral:rRNA from 1 species
AUUGAACGCUGGCGGCAGGCCUAACACAUGCAAGUCGAGCGGAUGAAGGGAGCUUGCUCCUGGAUUCAGCGGCGGACGGGUGAGUAAUUCCUAGGAAUCUGCCUGGUAGUGGGGGAUAACGUCCGGAAACGGGCGCUAAUACCGCAUACGUCCUGAGGGAGAAAGGGGGGGAUCUUCGGACCUCACGCUAUCAGAUGAGCCUAGGUCGGAUUAGCUAGUUGGUGGGGUAAAGGCCUACCAAGGCGACGAUCCGUAACUGGUCUGAGAGGAUGAUCAGUCACACUGGAACUGAGACACGGUCCAGACUCCUACGGGAGGCAGCAGUGGGGAAUAUUAGACAAUGGGCGAAAGCCUGAUCCAGCCAUGCCGCGUGUGUGAAGAAGGUCUUCGGAUUGUAAAGCACUUUAAGUUGGGAGGAAGGGCAGUAAGUUAAUACCUUGCUGUUUUGACGUUACCAACAGAAUAAGCACCGGCUAACUUCGUG